rnacentral:rRNA from 1 species
ACGGGUGAGUAAUAUAUCGGAACGUACCUUUGAGUGGGGGAUAACUAGUCGAAAGAUUAGCUAAUACCGCAUACGAUCUACGGAUGAAAGUGGGGGCUCGCAAGACCUCAUGCUCAUAGAGCGGCCGAUAUCUGAUUAGCUAGUUGGUGAGGUAAAGGCUCACCAAGGCAUCGAUCAGUAGCUGGUCUGAGAGGACGACCAGCCACACUGGGACUGAGACACGGCCCAGACUCCUACGAGAGGCAGCAGUGGGGAAUUUUGGACAAUGGGGGCAACCCUGAUCCAGCAAUGCCGCGUGAGUGAAGAAGGCCUUCGGGCUGUAAAGCUCUUUUGUCAGGGAAGAAACGGGAUGUUCUAAUACAGCGUCCUAAUGACGGUACCUGAAGAAUAAGCACCGGCUAACUACGUGCCAGCAGCCGCGGUAAUACGUAGGGUGCAAGCGUUAAUCGGAAUUACUGGGCGUAAAGCGUGCGCAGGCGGUUGUGUAAGACAGGUGUGAAAUCCCCGGGCUUAACCUGGGAAUGGCAUUUGUGACUGCACGGCUAGAGUGUGUCAGAGGGGGGUAGAAUUCCACGUGUAGCA